AGCAAUUAAAAGAAAAGAUAAAUUGCCAUUAACUUAAGGGACGUAUUCUAAAUAGGGGGUGGAAGCAACGCCUCUUGUGGGCCACGUGUUGGUACAGUAUUGGAGGAAGAUGACGGUGGAUUCCGCGAGAAAGAGUCUCGGUACUCUCACCGUGGAAGAAUCUCGUCUGUGGCUUUCGUAACCGAAAAAUCGCCGGAGAGUUUCGUCGACGAUCAAUUUCCGUGGCUCUCCUCGAAGAAGAACCUCGGUGGCGUUGCUCGGAGAAGAAUCUCGGUGGCUAUGAGCGUCGGAGAAUCUCUGUGGCUCUCCUCGACGGAGGAAAUCGGUGGCUCUCCUUUACAAACAAACUCCUCGGUCGGCGCCAAGUUAAAUCGAAAGCUCUUCCCUCACAUGGCAAGUAAGAACCACAGAGAUUGAGAAGAAGAAAGAAAGAACCGAUAGUGGUUUGUUUUGGCGAGGAGCAAUGGCGGAGCUGCGUCACUCCAGCUCUUGGAAGCCUUGCACUGAGCGGCGCAUGGGUGGAGUCUCUGGUAUAUUAGAGAAUGGUUUGUUUUGUCUUUGUGUCAGCUUAGUAGCAAAUCUCACUUUAACUUUGUUUUUUUCAGAUGUUCUCUCCUUUCGCUGUCCUAUCAUGGAUCAAUAUGAGUUAUGGCUUCUUUUUCUUUUUGUAGUUCUGUAAUGCAGUUGUUGUUGCCAAGAUUAAGAAUGCAACUCUGAUUCUACUAGUACUGAAGCAGGACCAAAUCGUUAAGACACUGGAGACCAUCAAAAGAGUGAGUCCGAGAAGGGCUCUAUUAAUGGGAAUGGCUCAGGCGUUUGGUCACCACAAAUCUUUCAGGUAAAACUUUUCUUCUGGUCAGCUCUUGUAGUUUUGUGAUCAGGCUCUUGUAGUUUUGUGGUCAGCUCUUGUAGUUUUGUGGCCAGGCUCUUGUAAUUUUGUGGUAGGGCUCUUGUAAUUUUGUGGUCAGCUCUUGUAGUCUGCUGCUUGUUUUGUAGUGGACUUGGUUUUGUUGUAUCAUGUGUGUAUCAAACCUUUUGAUCUUGUUUUGUUGUAUCACAGACCGUUUGUUCUAAUGAAAGCAUCAGUCAUCAUCUCUUUUUAUAAACAUCAUAGUCUUCUUCUCUACUCCGUGUGUAUCAAACUUCAUCUCUCUUUUUUCACUUUAUUUUUCGGGUUCUUUCAUUUGAGAUUUCUUCUUCAAUCACAGACCACAAAUAUAUGGUUUUAUGAAUUUUCAUUUGAGAUUUCUUCUUCAAAAAAGAUUGAGAUUUCUCCUCUUCUUCUUAAAUCACAAAGUCUCUUUCCCAUUCUAUUCUUGUAUUCACAAAGUUUCUUUCCCAUUCUCCUCUUGUUCUUCAUUUAUUCACAAAGUCUAAAACAUAUAUGGCAUCUUCUUCUCAAAAUACUUUUGGAGAGUCAAUUGAUCAAACUUUCGAUCAAUAUUUUGAUCAACAUUUUGAUCAAACAUUUGAAAAUCUGUUCAUUUAUCAUGGUGAUCAAGAAGAUGAAAGAAAGAGAAGAAAAAAACGAGUUUUUAUCGAACGAAAUCGUGAAGAAGGCCAUAUCUGGUUAUGGAAUGAUUAUUUCAGCGACACUCCAACAUAUCCCGAAAUUAUUAUCGUUUGUUUCCAUACUAAGUUUUUUUAUGUUUUUAUGUUUCUAUUUUAAUAUCUAUGUUUAAAAUGUUAAGUUUGACUUUGUUUUGUUCAAUAAAUAAAUUUAAUCUUUGUUUCAAAUUUAAUGUUUAUAAAAAAAUUUAAUCUUUUUUUUAUUGUUAAGAACCUUAAUUAAGAUACCACCAAUAAACCACUAUAAUUAAUUGUCUCUUAACAAAGUCUCUUAUCUUAAUUUUAGUGAUUAAAAAAUCAUUACAACCCACUUAAGAGACACAAAUGAGUUUUACCAAUAAACAUGCUCUAAGACACUUAUUGUGUGGUUGUAUACCAUAUUACUCUUGUAAAGGCAAACUAGAGUGGGUUUAGUUAGGUUUGGUCUUUAGAACUUUUUGGGUUUUGAAAUUCAAAAAUUAAAUCUGAUUUGGGUCUUGGGGUUGGGUUCUGUAAGAAAAUGUUUUUUUUUUUUAAAUUUCCUUUAGGGUACGAAGGGGGAGUAAACCGUUUUCAUUUUCGCGAACACAGAUCCAAGAGCUCUCUCUGUUUGCUCCGACGAAGGCGACAGAGAAAGCGUUUCCGACGAGAUUUGAGUGGAGACUUUAGGAGAUACUGAAAUGACGACGAGACGGAGACGAGCAGGGAAAGAACCUGCAGCCGAGGAGGGAAAUAGAGGGGAUGGCCCCGACGAGAGAUUGCCGGAGAGGCUAUUUGCGACGGACUGAUACCUAGCAAGCGACUGAAUGUCUACUCGACACUGGAAUACCUUGUCUUUGUGAGGGAUGUCCUUCGAGGUACGCUUGAGAUGGAUCGUAUUUUGGGUUCCUGCUUUGGCAAGCUGUUCGAUUUACCGGCUCAGAGCUUAUUGUGCUGCCGGUGAUGGAGAUUGGCACAAACAAGUCAUAUGGGUGGGGAAAUGGGAUGAUGAGAUAGAAGAUAGGAAAGUGGAAUAUAUGGUUGGGCUUAUUGUAGGCGGACACAACUUCAAGAAGUCCAAGUGGGGAUGGGGUGAUGCAAAAGAGGUUCUGUACAAUCACCAGGAGCGUAAGGCAGAAAAGAAGAGAAAGAAGCAGGGGGCUGCUUCGACAACCAAUGCAGGGGAAGGGCAUGUGUUGAAGCAAAGACGGGUUAGCACGUACUUUAGAAUGCCAAUUUUAGUAGAUGACAAUAGGUAUGACCAGUUAGCUGCACGAGUGGGUUUUUUGUAACAUAAAAAUAUGUGUAUUUGAACAUAAGAGGUGAAAGUGAAUGAUAUUUUGUAAGAUUGAGGUCAGUCAUGUGAAUGUAAAUUGUUUGAAAAACAGGUGAAA